rnacentral:rRNA from 1 species
CAAUAGCGUAUAUUAAAGUUGUUGCAGUUAAAAAGCUCGUAGUUGAAGAUACGAACGCUUACACUAGAACAAAGUUUCCGGUGUCUGCGUUCACUUUUCGCAAAGACAGCCUGGCCCAUUAGUUUGGGUCUUGUUUGAGUUGCGUCAUUUACUGUGAACAAAUUAGGGUGUUUAAAGCAGGCCUACGUUUGAAUACACUAGCAUGGAAUAAUAAGAUAUGAUCUUGGUCGUAUUUUGUUGGUGACUACCAAGAUAAUGAUUGAUAGAAACUGUUGUGGGUAUUCGUAUGAGCAUGUCAGAGGUGAAAUUCUUGGAUUUUGAUCAGACGAACUGCUGCGAAAGCAUUUACCAAGGAUGUUUUCAUUAA